UACGGAGGGUGCAAGCGUUACUCGGAAUCACUGGGCGUAAAGAGCGUGUAGGCGGGAGAAAAAGUCAGAUGUGAAAGCCAAUGGCUCAACCAUUGAACUGCAUUUGAAACUUUUCACCUAGAAUGUGGGAGAGGUAGAUGGAAUUUCUGGUGUAGGGGUAAAAUCCGUAGAGAUCAGAAGGAAUACCGAUUGCGAAGGCGAUUUACUGGAACACAAUUGACGCUGAGACGCGAAAGCGUGGGGAGCAAACAGG
rnacentral:rRNA from 1 species